GGGGGAGAGGCCAUACAACGCCCAUAUGUGCCUCCGCAGCCCUGUUAGGAACAGAAGGAGAACCUCGUCUUGACAUCAAUUAAGGUCUGACCAUCCGAGACUUGAUAAGAAAGAAGAAAACCUUCUCGGCGGUCCUUCUAUGCUACCGCAACUCUGUAAAAAGCUAGAGAGAACCCUUGCUUAAAAGAAGGAGGGAGAUGUGAAGGAACAGCGGCGGGCUACCCCAACAAAAAAUGGAGGCCGAACUACACCAAAGAUAUAAAAGACCUCAUCUCCGUGAAGGAGGAAGAGAAAGAGAGAUCUACGGGCACGAGCGAAAAGGCGAAUCGACACGGCAAUGGCUAGGAACCCUCAAACGGUGUCGACAUCGAACAAAUCAAAAAACAAUAAGAAAUUUGGUAAUGACGACCUAAUACGAAGAUGAACAAGGAAUCCUCGGACAACAUCGACAUCGCACGGGACAAAAAAUGAAAGAAGUCCGGCGGACGACAAUUCAACAUGACGCACGGGCAAGG
rnacentral:lncRNA from 1 species